rnacentral:lncRNA from 1 species
ACCAGAUAUAUUCAUUUUUAUUAUUUAUUAAUGGAAACAAAAUAACAAAAUGUUAUAGUAGUAUAUUUAUAUUACCAUAUGCAUGAACCAUGUUUAUCCUCCAUACACCGAACAGGUUAUCUUACCCUGAACCAGAUUAUAACGACCGGUUAAGGUUAAGGUUAAGCACCAGGUGCUGCAUCUUUAGCCCUACCGUGGAAAUACCCACCGUACUCUCUAGCAUAAUCUUUGACGUGAGAGGCCGUGUCAUAGAUCCGACCACGUGCAUAAUCCAUUUGAUCCGAUCCAACCGGGUGCCUUCCACGGAAAUAACGAUACGCCCACGAUACGACAGCCAACGUUCCAACAAGAAAACCGGCCACCGAUAAGAACCCGCCAACCCCGAUAAAUACCGGGAUCCAUACCGGACUCGAGAUGAUGAUCAGCGGAAGAAAGACAACGAAGCCUAUCCCGACGGCCGUCACGGUUAGGCCUAGGAGGAAGAGGAGGAUUCCGCCGGAUAUGAAGAGAGCGAGGAGACCAAAGAGCUGUGAGGAGGUUGGUGAAUGAGAUCGGAGAAGGCGGACAAGAGAAGCGUAAGGGCUGUUUCUUUCGGUGGUGUUGCUGCUACCGUAGAUGGGCCAGUAUUGGGCGUCGCCGCGAGAGAACGUUUCCGCCAUUGUAGAGUGACUUGUUGCUAUUGUGCGGUGACAGAGAACAGAAAUAGGAAAGGGGUAAAAAAAAACAAAUGGAGGACAAAAUUUUCAGCUUUGAGGUGGCAUUCAUGCAAACACGUGGAGAUCGGUCUCUGUUUUCAUGUUUGUCUUAAAUCGAGAAUUUGGUUUAAAUCCGGUUUAACUAAAAAUGAAUUGUUGGGAUUGGUUCGGUUUAUUUGCCACCAAAAGUAAAAGGACCAAGUGUCAAUAUAAAGAACACUGAACACACCCUCAAGUUACAAGAAGAGAAAACAGCAAGCAAGAAAGCUACAAUACCGAAUCAGUAGUAGCCAACGCCUCUAAGCUCAGCAGAACUUGGCUGCUGCAUAUCACUAGCUUUACCUAGAAACACAACUCGGCCUGCAUAAAGAAGAAACAAAGAUCAAAAUCUGACUUUUUUCAAAUAAAUCUGAGUGAGUAAAAACGAGAUCUUGAAGUUGAGCCAGUUCAUACCGUUUCUACGAAUGGCUACUUCUCUAAUACGUCGAACCAAACCAGUAACAGGAUCAGUGAAAAUCUUCGUCUCCAGAUAAGUCUUAAACCCUAAACCUAAACCGUAAACCUUAACCCAAACCCUAUAGCAUUUAAGUUCGGGGUUUGGGUUUAGGGUUUACCGUUUGGAUUUUAGGUCUAGAAUUUGGGUUUAGGGUAUAGGUUUUGAGUUUAGGAUUUACGGUUUGGGUUUAGGAUUUACGGUUUGGGUUUAGGGUCUAGGAUUAGAGUUUAGGAUAUAGGGUUUUGGGUUUAGAAUUUACGGUUUGGGUUUAGGAUUUACGGUUUGGGUUUAGGGUCUAGGAUUAGAGUUUAGGGUAUAGGGUUUUGGUUUAGGUGUUUGGAUUUGGGUUUAGAAUUUAGGGUAUAGAGUUUAGAAUUUAAAUUUUAGGAUUUAGGGUUUCGCUGGACGCAUUAGCGUCGUUAAAAUUAAUAUUUUUUUAUUUUUUGUAGCUAUUUUUUAUUUAAUUUAAUAUUUUUUAAUUAAUUAUCUAUGUGGAAAAUUGAUUGGUCAUAAAUGGUGAGGUGAAUUUAAAGGUUCACCCUAGGGGGUGAACUUUAGUUCUGUCCCAAAAAUAUAUACUAGUACAUUUCAGGUGACGAACACGCACGCCAAAAAUCUUAUAAAGCUUAUACAUAACCAGAUAUAUUCAUUUUUAUUAUUUAUUAAUGGAAACAAAAUAACAAAAUGUUAUAGUAGUAUAUUUAUAUUACCAUAUGCAUGAACCAUGUUUAUCCUCCAUACACCGAACAGGUUAUCUUACCCUGAACCAGAUUAUAACGACCGGUUAAGGUUAAGGUUAAGCACCAGGUGCUGCAUCUUUAGCCCUACCGUGGAAAUACCCACCGUACUCUCUAGCAUAAUCUUUGACGUGAGAGGCCGUGUCAUAGAUCCGACCACGUGCAUAAUCCAUUUGAUCCGAUCCAACCGGGUG